rnacentral:rRNA from 1 species
CAGUCGCACGGUAAUACGUAGGGCGCAAGCGUUAUCCGGAAUUAUUGGGCGUAAAGAGCUCGUAGGCGGUUUGUCGCGUCUGCCGUGAAAGUCCGGGGCUCAACCCCGGAUCUGCGGUGGGUACGGGCAGACUAGAGUGAUGUAGGGGAGACUGGAAUUCCUGGUGUAGCGGUGAAAUGCGCAGAUAUCAGGAGGAACACCGAUGGCGAAGGCAGGUCUCUGGGCAUUAACUGACGCUGAGGAGCGAAAGCAUGGGGAGCGAACAGGAUUAGAUACCCGAGUAGUCCCUGUCUCUUAUACA